UACAGAGGUCCCAAGCGUUGUUCGGAUUCAUUGGGCGUAAAGGGUGCGUAGGUGGGCAGGUAAGUCAGUGGUGAAAUCUCCGGGCUUAACUCGGAAACUGCCAUUGAUACUAUCUGUCUUGAAUACCGUGGAGGUCAGCGGAAUAUGUCAUGUAGCGGUGAAAUGCUUAGAUAUGACAUAGAACACCAAUUGCGAAGGCAGCUGGCUACACGAAAUAUUGACACUGAUGCACGAAAGCGUGGGGAUCAAACAGG
rnacentral:rRNA from 1 species